ACACUGUGACUGCAACUGUUCCACAAAUCUAAAAGCAACAGAGGCAUCACCCAGGUGUAUGUGCUCCUUUGUGUUCACUGCGCUUCAAAACUGCCACAAUAUCGAGAGAUCCUGUGAAAGAAGCCAUGAAAAAUAAUCAUCGGCUUUUACUGGAGGAAUUGGUCUCGAGUAUUGAUCAUAGUCAGCUUUGUGAAGGGGAAAUUGUUACAGGCGAUGUUAAAAGUGUAAGCUGCGGACCACAGUCUAUAGACAACCCAAUAUCACAAGGAUGCACAGGGGCAUGAACUGAUUUCCUCUCACCUUAAACGGCAGUUGAUAUGAAGACAUAAUAUCACCAAGUGUACUCAGUACAGAACAGCCAUCAACCCCAGCAGUUCACCAUUUUCCAACCAGUGAAUGGAUAAUCACCCUCAGUUAUCAGGCAUCUACAUUUGUCAUGAGAAUAAUAUUCUCUGGAGAUGGAACAUCACCUCAGGAAUGGCCAGAUACCAAAUUAACUGUACAAAAAAAGCUGCUUGAAGAUCGUUACAGUGAUUUAAAGGUGAAAAAAUCAGAAACUGCUGGAAAAAUGUACCAGGCCUUGCAGCGUCUGGGGAGAGAAAACAGAGUUAAUAUUUUGCAUCCAGUGACUUUUCUUCUGAACCCAUGUAAUAUAUGCUUAUAGGUCAUAUAUGUACUGUGUAUGCAGAUAAAAGUGAAACUGACUGGAACUAACCAGUUUUGUUAAUGAAUUGUAAUUGCCUUUGUUGAAAACUGAGAGGUACAAAUGGUAGUGCAUGCAUUUUUCUUAAUGAAAAGGGGGAAUAAUUGGAGGAAUGCACUUUUAUACCGUUUGCUAGCUGGCUUGCCGUAGCCAUUUGAGCUGUAGCUCUGCUGUAAAUUGUUUUUUAUUUAACUUUGCGGGAGCCACUAAAAAUAUUAAUUUGUGCUUACUCCUCAUCAGCAUUUGAAAAUCAUACUAAAUAGAUCAACCUCUCAAAAUCAACAAUUUUUUUUGACAAAACUAUCAACGGCUCAAUUUUUUCUCUGUGGCAUUUGGAAUUAUGCCACAAUGAAGACAUGUCUGAUAGUCUUUCAGUAUUACCAUUGCAAGAUGAAAUAAUCAGAGUUUUGUUUAUGGGGAGGGCCUGUGGACCAUUUAUUACCUACUAUUUAUUAUUUCUGUGUCUUUAAGUAGGAAGGGUAUUUCCCAGUAGUGAUAAGGGCAAUCAGAAAGCACUUAAGAGUAAUUUGUAUUACAAUAACUCUCAUCAUUACUUUAUUCACAUCUAAUUUCCAGAUCUGUCCAACAGAUAAUGGAAGACAUCCAAACAGUGCCAGCAAUUUUAAAGCAAAUGCAAUUCUUUGCAUUGCCAUUAACACUAGUGAGAAAAUAUGCAGGAAAG